rfam:Blastomyces dermatitidis ER-3 genomic scaffold supercont1.2, whole genome shotgun sequence.
GGUCCUAUAGCUCAGUUGAUUAGAGCGUGAUGCUAAUAACGCCAAGGUCGCGAGUUCGACCCUCAUUGGAACCA